rnacentral:rRNA from 1 species
AAUCAACGCUGGCGGCGUGCCUAACACAUGCAAGUCGAACGCGAAAGUCCCGCAAGGGAUUAGUAGAGUGGCAAACGGGUGAGUAACACGUGGGUGACCCGCCUUCGAGCGGGGGAUAACGUCCCGAAAGGGACGCUAAUACCGCAUAACAUCCUGCCUUUUAAGAGGUGGAGAUCAAAGCCGGGGAUCGCAAGACCUGGCACUUGAAGAGGGGCCCGCGCCUGAUUAGCUAGUUGGUGGGGUAAUGGCCUACCAAGGCAACGAUCAGUAUCCGGCCUGAGAGGGCGGACGGACACACUGGGACUGAGACACGGCCCAGACUCCUACGGGAGGCAGCAGUGGGGAAUUGUUCGCAAUGGGCGCAAGCCUGACGACGCAACGCCGCGUGGAGGAUGAAGGUCCUCUGGAUUGUAAACUUCUUUUAUAGGGGACAAACCCGGGAAUUCUUUCCCGAUUGACGGUACCCUAGGAAUAAGCACCGGCUAACUCCGUGCC